rnacentral:rRNA from 1 species
GUCGAGGGGCAUCAGUUUGGUUUGCUUGCAAACCAAAGCUGGCGACCGGCGCACGGGUGAGUAACACGUAUCCAACCUGCCUCAUACUCGGGGAUAGCCUUUCGAAAGAAGGAUUAAUAUCCGAUAGCAUAUAUUUCCCGCAUGGGUUUUAUAUUAAAGAAAUUCGGUAUGAGAUGGGGAUGCGUUCCAUUAGUUUGUUGGCGGGGUAACGGCCCACCAAGACUACGAUGGAUAGGGGUUCUGAGAGGAAGGUCCCCCACAUUGGAACUGAGACACGGUCCAAACUCCUACGGGAGGCAGCAGUGAGGAAUAUUGGUCAAUGGACGCGAGUCUGAACCAGCCAAGUAGCGUGAAGGAUGACUGCCCUAUGGGUUGUAAACUUCUUUUAUAUGGGAAUAAAGUGGUCCACGUGUGGAUUUUUGUAUGUACCAUAUGAAUAAGGAUCGGCUAACUCCGUGCCAGCAGCCGCGGUAAUACGGAGGAUCCGAGCGUUAUCCGGAUUUAUUGGGUUUAAAGGGAGCGUAGGCGGAUUGUUAAGUCAGUUGUGAAAGUUUGCGGCUCAACCGUAAAAUUGCAGUUGAUACUGGCAGUCUUGAGUGCAGUAGAGGUGGGCGGAAUUCGUGGUGUAGCGGUGAAAUGCUUAGAUAUCACGAAGAACUCCGAUUGCGAAGGCAGCUC